UUGGGCGAGACCAGCGGCAGCGGCCGCAGCAAAGCCAGCUUGGCGUGUCAAGCGCUCUAUUACUACUUAUGCGUCCUCCUUGCUCUCUAGAUUCAUGAUUCUGCUUCUGUGUGGUGUGCCAGUGCCGUUAAACUCGUGAUUCGAAUGUUGGGAUCAUGCUUGAGGAACGAGGGGCUUGUGACUUGUGAGCAAUCGAAGGCUAUGGCGCAACCACAUUGCUUUGACUGCCCGCAAGACUUGGUAGAACUUGUGUCGUUCAACAUUCUAAAAUCAGGAGGCUGACAAGUCCAAGUGGUCACGUGCAAGAACGUGAAUUGCCAAGGUAUGUGAGCUGCUACACUGAAUAAUGGUGAUCCUUUGAUGCAAAAUAGGAGUGGUAUGUGAGCUGCUACACUGAUAACAUAUUUAUGCACUGAAGUCAUAUUUCAAUAACAUGGAAAAAUCUCGGAACCUGUAGCAAUCUUGGAUGAUAUGAUACACAAAGAUGUUUUACCAAAUGCAUAUGUCUACAACUCAAUCGUCGGUGCUUAUAUAGAGUCUGGUGCCAUUGAGCAGGCUUUUGUUCUUGCUGAGAAAGUGAGAAGAUGAAAAAUAGUGGAGUAUCUGCAAACAUAGUUACCUACAAUUUAGUCUUGUUGAGAAUACUAGAGCUAGAGCUUUCCUUCUCGCUAAUGAACAUCAUAGAAUCACCAAGUUAAGGAUGGGGGUUUGUAACCCAAAUACUCCUCCAGUGAACCUCUGGUCUAAUAGAUAGCGUAGAGUUCAUGGCAAGAACACCAUUGUCCUGCUUGAGUAGCCCCUGGCAAGAGAUUUUUUCCCUCAGAUAUUGGAUUGCUCACAGUUAUUAUGAUACCCUUUUAUAUUGCAUCAUGGUAGGCUAUAGUGUUUCAAAUAUUUGUGACUUUACAGUGAGCAGUUCCCAGUUUUCGGUUCAGAAUUAGGUGCAGGACCAAGCAAUUCAGACAAUCAGCAAGAAACAGCUGCAUGACGAGCAUUGGUCGAUCAAAUCAGUUAGUUUUUUGUACUUUGUUUGAUCUCAAUCAAAGGUGUGUGAGCAUAGCUUCAUCUUUGUUUUUGUGGUCGUGGUUAGAAAACUUGUUAGUGGUCUCCCAUCUGUCUACUAAUGCAAUUUACUUUAUAUACUAAUGCAAUUUACUUUAUAUCAACCUCUGAGCUGACAACUAUAUUUGUGUUAGAUCUUCUCUCAGUGAUUGGAUAUAUCUGUAAGGAUUUCGCUCCUUUUUCUGCCAUCAUCAUGUGAUUGCCUUUUGUUUUCUGCCCAUGCUGUAGCAUUUCAUUUUCAUUGCUACUUCUUGCAUCGAUAGAGCGCACGUGCUUGAAAUGCUUUUUUAUCCUUGGUUUUCUCACGUUACGUGUUAAAAAGGAGAUUCUAAUCAACUGCUUGUCUUAUGCAGGUCCCUAGCCAAAUUUGUUUGCUCAUCAAGAGUGAAGGCUCAAGCAAGCAACAACUCCCUACCCAUUGAUCUGCAAAGAGAUUGUUUUGCCUAGAUCAUUUUGACAUAUUGUUUCGGUAAAGUUCAGUAUGAACACAAGGAGUUCGCAUUUCAUUGUGAUUUUUUCCACUCCUUACUUAGACCUAUAUCAAACGGAUUGCAUUAGUUUCUAUGUAAAUGGUGUAGAUGGUUCCAGAUCAUUUGUCCUAACACAUAGUUAUCUUGAAUACUUGCAAUAUAUUAUGCAUGAAUCACUCUUCAA